CACGCUAUAGCGGGAGAGUUCGGUUCGACGCAGCGCGAAUCGACGCCGAAGGAGCAACGGCCCCGGAAUCUCUCAGGCAAAAGGACCGCUGGCGCGUG
rnacentral:ncRNA from 2 species